rnacentral:rRNA from 2 species
CGCCAACUUAAGGGGCCGCCAUAUAAUGGCAAGUCGAGCGGAUGGAUUAAAGAGCUUGCUCUUAUGAAGUUAGCAGGCGGACGGGUGAGUAACACGUGGGUAACCUGCCCAUAAGACUGGGAUAACUCCGGGAAACCGGGGCUAAUACCGGAUAACAUUUUGAACCGCAUGGUUCGAAAUUGAAAGGCGGCUUCGGCUGUCACUUAUGGAUGGACCCGCGUCGCAUUAGCUAGUUGGUGAGGUAACGGCUCACCAAGGCAACGAUGCGUAGCCGACCUGAGAGGGUGAUCGGCCACACUGGGACUGAGACACGGCCCAGACUCCUACGGGAGGCAGCAGUAGGGAAUCUUCCGCAAUGGACGAAAGUCUGACGGAGCAACGCCGCGUGAGUGAUGAAGGCUUUCGGGUCGUAAAACUCUGUUGUUAGGGAAGAACAAGUGCUAGUUGAAUAAGCUGGCACCUUGACGGUAC